AACAGGCAUGCAGACAGAACAUCCAU
rnacentral:piRNA from 1 species